ACAUAUUUGGGCUACUAUCUUAUAUGGGCCCUGCCAAGAUGCUUGCAUCUUGUUCAUCUUCACAGGCUUGAGCACUAAAACCUUUUGCCCCAUCUUUAAGACCUGCUGUCGAGCUCCCCGAUCGUACCACCUUUUCUGUCUCCCCUGGGCCGCAUGGAGAAACUGGAGUUCCAGGACAUAUGGUACUAUGGGGGUUCCUUCCUGCUCUGUCUCUCC